rnacentral:lncRNA from 1 species
CCGUCGAAAACAGUGGGUGGUGGUGGAAGUUAAAGAGAGAAGAGUUUAAAAUUGCCGGCAUGGUUUCACCGGCCUGAAACCGUGGAACGGUACAGUAUUUCGGCUAAGAUAUCCCUCUUCACAGUUCACAAAUGUCAACCUAUUGUAUUGUAUUUUUUAAUUUUAUUUUUAAAAAAACAAAAUAAUAUUUAUUAAAAUUAUUACUCACCUUUUAUUGUAUUAUAUUAUGAAA